UCCAUUCUCACUUCCUACGUGGCAAUUCUUAUUGGCGCAAACAUCAAACCCUACAAAUAGAAACCGCUUCUCAAGCUCCGAUGUCUCCGGCCUCCGCUUUGUAGGCCUUCUUUUCUGGUUUCCCCUUCAAUGCGAGUGGAAGCGGCGGUCCUGAGGUUGUGUGAUAUAGUCGAUCUGAAGCUCACCCUUCUCCCUCGCGGGGAUCCCCGCAUCUUCAAGAAUGUCAGUCCAUGGCUGCCAUCCGAGUGAGCGAGGGUCGGGAAUAGAUUUCGAAGAAUUAGGGUUACGUCAGCGUCAGCCUACAAGACCAGAAAAAGUCAGGUGUGACCAGCGGAAGGCCCACCCGCUUUAUCUGUGCUGGUAGUAACUCGGAGUCUGUGGUGCUACAGGGAGUGGCUGCCGGGGCGCCUCUGACUGUUGCCAUUCCCAGAUUCAACGGUUGCUGUAUGGACUGUUGGCCAGCCACCGUCUCCAGCAUGCUCACAGCCAUCUCAAUGACAGAGGUGAUCUCAGUCCCCGCUUCACUCCCACACGUUUUGGCUUCUCGGAAGAAGGGAGAUGAGUUCCAACCUCUCUACCUCGCAUACUCUCUUGCUCUUUGUGUCGCAGCAUUGGAUGCUGCUCCCCCAAGACUUCUUGUGACUGGUGUAUGAGAGAGUGCUCAAGCAGAAUCUGAGUCGGCGCCUCCGUGUGCAGUGCCCUACUUCGUGUUUUGCUGUGCUUCUUGUGUGUGGAAAAUGCAGAACUCAGCUAAGGCGGGGCAAGACGGGGCAAAGUCCUCUCUCUUCUUAUUGGAAGUUAUGAUGUCGACAAUGCAGACCAGUUCCGAAUUGGAAAUCUUGAUUCUCUGCAUCGAAUUCUGUUCUGCCUGCACCGAUGUGCACCAACAACCACAACGAAUUACUACACUCCAAUGCUGCCGAAGGGUCCACUUGGUUUGCCAAACCUUAAGUUGAUCGUGGAUCACAGCUUAGCCACUUGUUUUAAUGUUAGCAGGAUAAAGCACACAUACACGAGCGCACACACACAUUUAUAGAAGAAGUUAGAUUUGACUUUUACAAAUGUUUAUGUAAACUGAACAUAUGAAUACGCUGUUACUGUUAUUCUUAACAAAAAUAUGAAACACUGUUGAGGAACACAUUAACGUAUAUAUAUAUAUAUAUAUAUAUAUGUCUUCAUGUACACACUCAUGUGUAUACAUGGUCCAAAACUUGUAACUAAAUGGAUCUUUACAUCAGUUGUUUUUUCUUA